ensembl:snRNA U6 U6 spliceosomal RNA
GUGCUCUCUUUAGCAGCAGCACAUAGGCUAAAACUGGAACAAUUCAAAGAACAGCUUGGCCCCUGUACGAGGAUGACACACAAAUUUAUGAAGUAUCCCAUUAAAAA